rnacentral:rRNA from 1 species
UACAGAGGUCCCAAGCGUUGUUCGGAUUCAUUGGGCGUAAAGGGUGCGUAGGCGGCGCGGUAAGUCGGGUGUGAAAUCUCGGAGCUUAACUCCGAAACUGCAUUCGAUACUGCCGUGCUUGAGGACUGGAGAGGAGACUGGAAUUUACGGUGUAGCGGUGAAAUGCGUAGAUAUCGUAACGAAGACCAGUGGCGAAGGCGGGUCUCUGGACAGUUCCUGACGCUGAGGCACGAAGGCCAGGGGAGCAAACGGG